rnacentral:rRNA from 1 species
GUCUACAGCCAUACCACCCUGAAUGUGCCAAUCUCAUCUCAUCUGAUCUCAGAAACUAAGCAGGGCUCAGGCCUGGUUAGUACUUGUAAUGGGAGACUGCCUGGGAAUACAUGGUGCUGUAGGCU